AACGAACGCUGGCGGCAUGCCUAACACAUGCAAGUCGAACGAACCCUUCGGGGUUAGUGGCGCACGGAUGCGUAACGCGUGGGGAUCUGCCCUUUGCUUCGGAAUAACAGUUAGAAAUGACUGCUAAUACCGGAUGAUGUCGCAAGACCAAAGAUUUAUCGGCAAAGGAUGAACCCGCGUAGGAUUAGCUAGUUGGUGGGGUAAAGGCCUACCAAGGCGACGAUCCUUAGCUGGUCUGAGAGGAUGAUCAGCCACACUGGGACUGAGACACGGCCCAGACUCCUACGGGAGGCAGCAGUGGGGAAUAGUGGACAAUGGGCGAAAGCCUGAUCCAGCAAUGCCGCGUGAGUGAUGAAGGCCUUCGGGUUGUAAAGCUCUUUUACCAGGGAUGAUAAUGACAGUACCUGGAGAAUAAGCUCCGGCUAACUCCGUGCCAGCCGCCGCGGUAA
rnacentral:rRNA from 1 species